rfam:Bacterium P201 scaffold_19, whole genome shotgun sequence.
CUGCGCCUGCUGAAGGAGGCAGCACCGCCGACAGCGUUUCAUUGGCUUUGCAGGCAGCCCGACGGAUGUACCCUCUCGUGAACAGCAAUUUUGCUGAUUCAAAAUCUCUCC